CAAAACGCAGAGGCAGCCGGAAAAGUUUAGUAUAGCUCGAGCUCAAGCACCAGCUCAAACGCCGAGCCAAGUUCUCAGCCCGCUUUUCCAGCCCACCACCCACCUCGAAGUCCUUUGAAUGGUGCCAAGCGGCCAGCGCUCGAAGGCAUUUCCAUGAUUACAAGCAAAGGACAUGGGCCCCAGAACAGCAGGGCAGCACUUUGAAAUUGAAGCUGCUGGGAAAGGGAUGAGUGUACACAUGUAUGCCAAUGCGAGGGAUGGCAUCCGGCUCUGAAGACCUCUCAAGUCAAAUUAAAGACUCGACACCCCUCACGUCAGAGCCCCUUCCAAACGGACCGAGCGACUCUUGUCCCACUGCCAAGCACCAAACUUAGUAGCCAUAAAUGAAAUGGAUCAACUGCGGGCCCUUGAAUACCGCUUGAGUUGAUAACAUUUUCCAUUGCCAAACUGUGAGAAUCUGGAGUAGAGAUACAUAGUCCUAUUUAUCGCAGUAAUACAUGAUAGAACCAAUACCAAUAGGCCAUAUAGCCGAUUGGAGCCACAUUAAAUCCAAUCAAUGUUCUUCCCAGCUCCUCAAGUCCAUCAAUCUCAGCUGCGCACUCUUACCGGAAGACUGCGGGGGAAUUGGAAACUGGUAACUGGCGAUGAGGAGAGUGCUAUCUGGUCAUGUGGCACCUUCAGGAAAUGUCUCAUGCGGUUAUCAGGAGUGGUAAUCUUAUCACUGGUCGCUGGCACUCGGAGCUGACAAAUGUUAGAGGUAGAAGUGCAUUUCUGGCUCGAUUCGGCUUGUGGGGUGGGACACAAAGAGGACAUUGACUGCAACUUGUGGAGCACAUCGAAAGGGGGGCGAGCCGGGCACUGGAGCUACCCGAAGACCAUGUGGCGCAGUCAAUAAAACAAAUAUGACAGGGCGGCGGAUGUCGGGGAGCGACGCAAGUGUAAUGAUAAUAAAAGUUUAUGACAGCAGCUCAUGAGCUUGUAAGGCUAAUGUCAACGUACUU
ensembl:ncRNA lncRNA:CR43905 long non-coding RNA:CR43905